AAAAAACAUUGCGAUGUUGCCUAGUACGUGGCUGACGGUACUCGUCCCCCCAGCUUCGCCGCCAUGUCCGUCAAAAACAGCCAUGGUUUUUCCGAAUGGCUGGAGCUCGUAGCCUGCCACGGGAUGCUCGAGAUCUGCGCCGACGUGAGGCAUGCGUUCUGGUUCGGUCUGAAGCUUCGCGAACAUCAGCGGGGGAAGAGAGUGGUG
rnacentral:misc_RNA from 1 species